AUUGAACGCUGGCGGCAGGCCUAACACAUGCAAGUAGAACGAGUGGCGGACGGGUGAGUAAUGUAUGGGAAACUGCCUGUUGGAGGGGGAUAACUACUGGAAACGGUAGCUAAUACCGCAUACCAUCAGAUGUGCCUAGAUGGGCUUAGCUUUUUGGGGGGGUAACGGUUCACAAAGGCCACGAACCCUAGCUGGUCUGAGAGGAUGACCGUCCACACUGGAACUGAGACACGGUCCAGACUCCUCGGGAAGCAAGCAGUGGGUACUAUUGCACAAUGGGCGCAAGCCUGAUGCAGCCAUGCCGCGUGUAUGAAGAAGGCCUUCGGGUUGUAAAGUACUUUCGGCGGGGAGGCGUUACCCACAGAAAAAGCACCGGCUAACUCCGUGCCAGCAGCCGCGGUAAUUC
rnacentral:rRNA from 1 species